CUGAGCAAGGCAGACUGUCUUCACUGUUCCCUCUGUCCCUGUGGAUUUGAUCAAGAUGCAUGUUUAGGUCCAGGUUAAAAAAAAAAAAGGGAAGAGGUACAGUGGGAUCACAGCUGUGGUAUUUGCAGCAGUUUGUCCUUCCUCAGAAGUUCGCCAAGAGUUACUCAUGGAGAUGGCAAAAGUUACCAUGAAAAAUCAACUUCAAACCAUUGAGGACCUGUAACCUUGCAAGUCCCUUGAUAUGAAAAUGCAGAAAGAUGGCUUGGUACACCAGAGAAAAUGCAAGUGGCACAUAACUCACUUUUUGCACCCCAUAUCAAGAUACAGAAAUCAUGCGACAGAUCACAUUUUAUAUAGCUUUUAUCUGAAGAACCCCAGAGGGUUUGCCGGCAUUUCAUUCAAAACAUUUGAGAACUUUGCAUGCUGCAGAUGUUUGACUAACAGGGAAAUAGUUGCUUGGAUGACCAGUUCUGCCUUCUAAAUGCAAAUGACCAACCUGCCUCAUUUUAAGACUAGAAGCAAAAGAUGACACAUAUUACAAAUUUCUGUUUUCAGAACAGGACACUAAGGUAUUGAGAUACUUUGGAAUUUGGAGCCGUACACUGUGGGGUUCCCAGCAGGUUGUGAAACUCUUUACCUUCUGCCUCCUGCACACGGUUCUCUGCACACCCGUGCACCAGUGGCUGCCGUGGGUUUGCCAGUUAGCACGUGAACCUGCCACACACCCUCACUGAAAACUGGAAAAGAAAGGGUGGGGGUUUUCUACAUUACCUUUAAUGUCUGUCUCAUUUUCACUGCAAUGUAGUCCCACUUUUUGCCUUUUUUA